rnacentral:misc_RNA from 1 species
GAUGAAGAACGUAGCGAAAUGCGAUACGUAAUGUGAAUUGCAGAAUUCAGUGAAUCAUCGAAUCUUUGAACGCACAUUGCGCCCGUCAGUAUUCUGGCGGGCAUGCCUGUUCGAGCGUCAUUACGCCCCUCAAGUCCCCUGUGGACUUGGUGUUGGGGAUCGGCGAGGCUGGUUUUCCAGCACAGCCGUCCCUUAAAUUAAUUGGCGGUCUCGCCGUGGCCCUCCUCUGCGCAGUAGUAAAACACUCGCAACAGGAGCCCGGCGCGGUCCACUGCCGUAAAACCCCCAAACUUUUUAUAGUUGACCUCGAAUCAGGUAGGACUACCCGCUGAACUUAAGCAUAUCAAUAAGCGGAGGA